rnacentral:rRNA from 1 species
GUUAUAGGGUCAAGCGAACAAGUGCAUGUGGUGGAUGCCUUGGCGAUCACAGGCGAUGAAGGACGCGGUAGCCUGCGAAAAG